CUACGUGCCAGCAGCCGCGGUAAUACGUAUGUCGCGAGCGUUAUCCGGAAUUAUUGGGCAUAAAGGGCAUCUAGGCGGCCCUCCAAGUCAGGGGUGAAAACCUGCGGCUCAACCGCAGGCCUGCCUUUGAAACUGAGGGGCUGGAGUACCGGAGAGGUGGACGGAACUGCACGCGUAGAGGUGAAAUUCGUAGAUAUGUGCAGGAAUGCCGAUGAUGAAGAUAGUUCACUGGACGGUAACUGACGCUGAAGUGCGAAAGCCGGGGGAGCGAACAGGAUUAGAUACCCUGGUAGUCCCGGCCGUAAACGAUGAUUACUGGGUGUGGGCAGGAAGACUGUCUGUGCCGAAGCGAAUGCGAUAAGUAAUCCGCCUGGGGAGUACGGCCGCAAGGCUGAAACUCAAAGGAAUUGACGGGGACCCGCACAAGCGGUGGAGCAUGUGGUUUAAUUCGACGCAACGCGAGGAACCUUACCAGAUCUU
rnacentral:rRNA from 1 species